rnacentral:lncRNA from 7 species
GCGACAAAUUUUUGUUGCUUUGGCUCCAAGGUGGUAUCAAAUGAAGAAAAACAAGAGUGAAGAUGUGGGAGGACGUGGUCCUCCAUAUAGGACUUUUUGUUUAAAGUUAUCGGGAGGAGUUUUUGCCUCCCUUGAUAUGUGUACUACUCAGCACUCGUUAUAGCUCUGGUCUGUAAUAAGUAACUUGAUCCUACUUUCUAAAUAAAUGUAAGUUUAUGC